UGGUUAAGCUACACGCGACGAUCGUACGGUCGAGAGAAUCGCACAUGACUGAGAAACUGUCAGACUCCUACGGAGCAGCAGUGGGAUAUGACAUUGGGGACCUGAUCACGCAUGGCCCGCGUGUGUGAGGAGCUUUGUGUAAGCACCUUAAGUGGGGAGAGGCUACCUGUAAUACUGGAUAAGUGGACGUACUCACAGAAUAAGCACCGGCUAACUCUGUGCCAGCAGCCGCGGUAAUACAGAGGGUGCGAGCGUUAAUCGGGAUUUACUGGGCGUAAAGCGCGCGUAGGUGGUUAAUUAAGUCAAAUGUGAAAUCCCCGAGCUUAACUUGGGAAUUGCAUUCGAUACUGGUUAGCUAGAGUAUGGGAGAGGAUGGUAGAAUUCCAGGUGUAGCGGUGAAAUGCGUAGAGAUCUGGAGGAAUACCGAUGGCGAAGGCAGCCAUCUGGCCUAAUACUGACACUGAGGUGCGAAAGCAUGGGGAGCAAACAGGAUUAGAUACCCUGGUAGUCCAUGCCGUAAACGAUGUCUACUAGCCGUUGGAGGAUUUGAUCCUUUAGUGGCGCAGCUAACGCGAUAAGUAGACCGCCUGGGGAGUACGGUCGCAAGACUAAAACUCAAAUGAAUUGACGGGGGCCCGCACAAGCGGUGGAGCAUGUGGUUUAAUUCGAUGCAACGCGAAGAACCUUACCUGGCCUUGACAUAGUAGAAACUUUCCAGAGAUGGAUUGGUGCCUUCGGGAAUCUACAUACAGGUGCUGCAUGGCUGUCGUCAGCUCGUGUCGUGAGAUGUUGGGUUAAGUCCCGCAACGAGCGCAACCCUUUUCCUUACUUGCCAGCAUUUCGGAUGGGAACUUUAAGGAUACUGCCAGUGACAAACUGGAGGAAGGCGGGGACGACGUCAAGUCAUCAUGGCCCUUACGGCCAGGGCUACACACGUGCUACAAUGGUCGGUACAAAGGGUUGCUACACAGCGAUGUGAUGCUAAUCUCAAAAAGCCGAUCGUAGUCCGGAUCGCAGUCUGCAACUCGACUGCGUGAAGUCGGAAUCGCUAGUAAUCGCGGAUCAGAAUGCCGCGGUGAAUACGUUCCCGGGCCUUGUACACACCGCCCGUCACACCAUGGGAGUUUGUUGCACCAGAAGUAGGUAGUCUAACCGCAAGGAGGACGCUUACCCUUUUACGUUUCAUAAUCC
rnacentral:rRNA from 1 species